rnacentral:snRNA from 16 species
CUUGGCACCCUCCGGGUCGGUAAUGGCCUGGGCAGGGUCGAGAUUGUAUAGGACCAGGCCGGCCUUGGAGCAGGCGAAUUGCAGAAUGUGCUCCUCGCCAAAGUGCUGGGGAAGCCAGCUCA